GGUUCUCUUUCCAGGGAUUGCUCCUCUUGGAGUUUUUUUCCGUGAGCCUACAACACAGGUGCUCCAGGACCUUAAUCAUCUUUCUGGCCCAGACUGGACUGUCCUAGUGUCACUGAGUGAAGCACUGAUAUUCUUUAUUUGAAUAUAAUCUUUUAUAAUCUUAGACACUGUUCAAUUGAGGGGAGAGUAAAGCAUGAGCAAUUGAAAAAAUAUAUGCCUGGACUUCAAAAUUAAAUCUGAAAACUGUAAUUCUUCAGAUGGGGAUCAUGUAACUAUCAAGUCUGCAUUUCUGCUCUGCUGAGAAGACCUUUGUACCUAUGAAGAGCCUGCAAAGCCUAAUGAGAAGAUAGAUCUAGGGAUGCAAGCUUGGGAACUGGAUAAAAACAGUUAUAGAGACGGUGAUGUUUCAGAGUCUAGCAUUUCUGUUACAAAGACUCACAGUAAGUACAAAGG